CCUCCCUCCCCGCCCUCCCCCGAAGUCUCCGGCCUCAGGCCAGCCCGGGUGCCGCCGGGAGGGGAGGGCGGGGGAGCGCGGUGCGGCUGGGGUGGGGCCGCAGGUUGGGAGGGGGCCGGGCCUAUUGUGUCCCCGGCACCAAUCCGCAGCCCCAGGCAGGCUGGAGAGGGAGAGACAAAGGAGGGACUGGGGAGCACAAAGGGAGCAGGAAUGAAAUGUGAUCCAGAACAACGUCUCCCACCUGGCUCCUGCCUGCAUCAUGUGGCAUUGCCAUCACCUAGAAUCACAGAAGACAUGGGCCCACCCACGUCAUCCAGCCGCAUCUACAGGAAGACCUCCAUCCUCUGUGGCAGCAGCCCGUUCCACCACGGCAACUCUUCAGCCAUCAGACUGAGUGAAGUCAUGAAGUCACGUUCAAAUAAUCUUUCAAGUGGGACUUCCUGUGCUCCAUCAAAGCUUAUUGAGGGACAGGUUUAAACGCCUACUGUGGUUUCUCUGCGUGAACCUCAUGAUGAUCAAUUUUAUGUGUCAACCGGACCAGGAGGCGAAGUGCUCAAACAUGUGUCAACCGUUGUGGGUGGGUCUGGGUGGGCAUUUCUAGAUGAGGUUGACAUUUGUAUCAGAAGGCUGACCAGAGUGACUGGGCUCAGAGGUAGCUCACUGUAGGAGGGUGAGUCCCUGGGUUCCAUCCCAGGAAAAGGAGAAGAGGAGAGGGGGGGAGGGGAGAGGAACAGGAGACUGAAUGAAGCAGGUUGUUCUUCCUAAUGCUGAGUGGACCUCGUCCAGCCAUUUGAAGACCUGAAUAAAAUGAAAAGGCUGAGUAAGAGGGAAUUUUUCCUGCCCAAAUACUUCAGCUGGGACUUCUGCCUUCUGCUUUUGGACUCCAAUUGAGACUUUUGGCUCUUCUGGAACCUCAAGCCUUCUACUUUUGGACUGACCCCCGCCCUGGUUCUCAGGCCCUUGGACUCAGACUAGAGCUCGUUCAUUGCUUUCCUGGGUCUACCGCUUGCUGACUACAGAUUUUGAAAAUUCUCUGUCUCUAAAAUCACAUGAGCUUUAUCAUAAAUCCCACUCUUUCUGU